rnacentral:rRNA from 1 species
CAAUAGCGUAUAUUAAAGUUGUUGCAGUUAAAAAGCUCGUAGUUGGAUUUCUGGUAGGAGUGACCGUGCCAGACUUGAUUGUCUGUGUAUUGUGUUGUCUCCAGCCAUCCUUGUGGAGAACUUUUCUUGCAUUAAUUUGUAGGGAUUGGGACCCGCAUCGUUUACUGUGAAAAAAUUAGAGUGUUUAAAGCAGGCAAUCGCUUGAAUACAUUAGCAUGGAAUAAUAAGAUAGGACUUUGGUACUAUUUUGUUGGUUUGUAUACCAAAUUAAUGAUCAACAGGAACAGUUUGAGGAUAUUCGUAUGAACAUGUCAGAGGUGAAAUUCUUGGAUUUUGAUCAGACGAACUACUGCGAAAUCAUUUAUCAAGGAUGUUUUCAUUAA